UUUUGCUCCCGCUCUAUUUUUAAAUACGCACACUUGUAUGCUUGUGUGUGUGUUGUUGUUGUAAGGCCGAAGUAGUAGAGGACACCAUGAGAACGUUAAAGGGGGAAGUGUGGGCGUGGAUUGUAUAUAAAACCCUGGCCAUAUAAUCAGGUGCGCCUUAUGUGUGUGUUAAAUACAGUAAUGGCACACAUAACUGAGACUGCGCCUUUUGGUACGGUGCGCCUUUUGGUCGUGAAAAUACGGUACUUUAAAAUCAACUACCAGCCUAGAGGUUUUCCCACAUUAUCCCAAUCUAGCUAGCUUCAGACUUACGUUAGAAUAACGUUAGCUUUCAAAACGUUAGUCAGACUCGGCCCGACACUCAGUUUAACCACUGGCGACAAAAUAUCCUCUCCUUGAAAUGUGCAGUCGUGUUGCCAGUAGUUUAAAACAAUGAUUCAUUUGAAAACCACCUUAAAACUUAUGUGAGAAUUAUAUCGUCCAUGAAAGUAGGUUCGCUCGAUACGUGCCACUCACUUGAAAGGUGUUUAUUCUGCCUUUCUUGCAUUUCCGCGCAUCUUUCAAGCAGACCAGUCAAUCAACUGGAGUGCCACAGAGGUGUUAGCAAAAUUUUCCUCUGUAUGACCCGCCCUACUCUGCCUCUGAUUGGCUCAUCCCUAAAGUUAACCAAUCGAAUCAGUGAAGGUAGCAUGUACCAGCCAAUUACAGGCAGAGGAGGGUUGUUCAUGGCUUCAUCAUCCCUAAGGAAAAGAGGGCUACCUGGCACACAGAUAUUACUGAAUGAUGCGCACCAGGGAGCAUUAGAAGUGGGUAUACGCAAUGCUAACUGAAAAAUAAGUGGGUAUACGCCGUAUACCCUGGACUACACCAGUGUCUCAUUUCAGUAUCCACCCCUAAGUGCGAAACACAGUGUGCUGUACAGUUGUUCAGAUUUAAAGGAGGCCUUAAAAAAAGACUCUUUAGUAAUCAAAUUACAAUCGUUUCAGCCCUAUUCUCAACAGAAAAAUACCGGCUGGACUGACAGGCAAAACACACACAUAGCAAACUUCAAAUUAAGACAAACUAAACAAGAUGCAGUAAUCUAAAUCACAAAGUGGCGGAGCUCAGAGGCGGGUAACAAGUUAGCUAAUUAGCCAUAUUUACGAACAUUAGCAGUAACGGCGCUAGCUUUCCAAUGUGUUAGCUACACAUACUCACUUGACUUGAACAUGUAUAUCAUAAUAUUAAAGUUUAAUGCUUUUGACUCACGUUGACUUGAAUAUCAUUCAUAUCAUAUUUUCGACUUACCAAGCUUUUCCUCGUGAUGAAAUGAAAGACCGCCAGCUCCCGUCUUCUAUGAGGGCUCAAACUGGUUGGUUAGAACUAUGCCAUGACGAUAGCGCUGGCCAAUCAUGUUACAGUAUAACAUGAUUGACCAGCGCUGACAUUUAAAAAAUACUAACAUAGAAAAUUAAAAAUCACUUGAGACGCACUUCGCCUUAAAGGGGAACUUCGUUUUUUUUUCAACCUGGGGUCUGUUUUCAUAUGUCAUUUCAUACGUGUGAGUGAUGGAGAAAUGAAUUUUUGACAUAGCUCCAGUAUUUAGCAUGGCAGUCAGCUUAGCACAUAGACAUAUAUAUGUCAGGGUAGAGACUGCGAUUUGGUAGAAUUGGAGUCUCUACCAGUAGAGAUGGAACUUUAAAUCUGACCCCUGCCCUGACCCUUGACCCUAACCUUAAAAGUCUAACCUUAGCCCUGACAAAUCUCUACUGGUAGGAUUGGAGUUUCUACUGGUAGAGAUUGCGAUCGCAAUCUCUACUGGUAGAGACUCCAAUUCUACCAAAUCGCAGUCUCUACCAUGAUAUAUAUAUUUAGUUCUCUUUUGUGUCUUUUUUGUCUUUUGGCUCCUUCACACCACAGACCUUGUAACUGUAAGUAGGCAACACUCCAAAGAUUUAUCCAAAUGGUAGUUUAAGUGUACUGAAACAUGUCACUGAUCUAGGAUGAAGAGGAUGAAACUGUGUCUGCUGCCUUUACAGAGAGUAUCCAGAAAGGCAUAUAGAGAGCAUGGCUGGACAGCAGCAGGAUGGUCCCUCAACUCCCACUGCAGUGAGCUGUAUGUUCAGGAAACACCAGAGGUUCAUUCCGUGGAAUUCAUGUGCAACUGUAUAAUUUAAUGUCCUCUAUGUAUUCCCAGUUAUCAGUAAAACGGAUUUACAAACUGCAUUUGCUGAGAGAAAAAAAAACAGAUGAGGAGGGCAGUUUUGGAAAUUGAAAUACUGGAGCACAAGUUAGAGAUGGGUGAUGGUCACAGGUGAAUUAUGUUAACUAUUGGAACAUUAACUGAACUAUCUCUUUAUUUGUAGGAAAUAAAGAAGACCAAAUGAAA